rnacentral:rRNA from 1 species
CCUACGGGGGGCAGCAGUGAGGAAUAUUGGUCAAUGGACGAGAGUCUGAACCAGCAAAGUAGCGUGAAGGAUGACUGCCCUAUGGGUUGUAAACUUCUUUUAUAAAGGAAUAAAACGAGGCACGUGUGCCUUUUUGCAUGUACUUUAUGAAUAAGGAUCGGCUAACUCCGUGCCAGCAGCCGCGGUGAUACGGAGGAUCCGAGCGUUAUCCGGAUUUGUUGGGUUUAAAGGGAGCGUAGAUGGGUUGUUAAGUCAGUUGUGAAAGUUUGCGGCUCAACCGUAAAAUUGCAAUUGAUACUGGCAGUCUUGAGUACAGUUGAGGUAGGCGGAAUUCGUGGUGUAGCGGUGAAAUGCUUAGAUAUCACGAAGAACCCCGAUUGCGAAGGCAGCUUACUAAACUGUGACUGACAUUGAUGCUCGAAAGUGUGGGUAUCAAACAGGAUUAGAUACCCUUGUAGUC